GGGGGAAUGGUUCAGUGGUAGAACACAUGCUUUACAUGCAUGAAUCCCUGGAUUCAAUUCCUAGCACCA
rfam:Ictidomys tridecemlineatus contig003211, whole genome shotgun sequence.